AAUCCGUGUUGUGGGCAUUGACAUAGUAAACCCCUGCAUCUUUCCAAAGCCUCUGAAUAGCAUUCUGAGUCCUUUUGUUGAAAAGUAGUGAUCUCGUACCUUAGCUU
rnacentral:snoRNA from 1 species